CCCCGAGAGAGAGAGAGAGAAAAAUAAAAUAAAAAGGGAAAAAAAUUGGAUAUAUGAGGUGGAGGACUUGGAGAUCAUCGGAGGGAGCUCACCGGAGUGUUUGGUGUUGUUCAAUCUUGGGAGGAAGUUCCAGGUCUAGCAAGGAACCCAAAGGAGACUAGGUGGCAGCGUAGAGCCCUAAUUGGAUUAUACAUCGAGAUCCUGGAGUCACCACACGGGACCGAUGGGCCAACGUCAAGGGUGUGAAGACCUUGGCGACUCC